CUCUGGUAUUGAUUGGUGCUUGCAUCAUGAUUUACAUUUGAGUGAGUGGCGAACUGGUGAGUAACACGUGGGAAACCUGCCCAGAAGCGGGGGAUAACACCUGGAAACAGAUGCUAAUACCGCAUAACAACUUGGACCGCAUGGUCCGAGUUUGAAAGAUGGCUUCGGCUAUCACUUUUGGAUGGUCCCGCGGCGUAUUAGCUAGAUGGUGGGGUAACGGCUCACCAUGGCAAUGAUACGUAGCCGACCUGAGAGGGUAAUCGGCCACAUUGGGACUGAGACACGGCCCAAACUCCUACGGGAGGCAGCAGUAGGGAAUCUUCCACAAUGGACGAAAGUCUGAUGGAGCAACGCCGCGUGAGUGAAGAAGGGUUUCGGCUCGUAAAACUCUGUUGUUAAAGAAGAACAUAUCUGAGAGUAACUGUUCAGGUAUUGACGGUAUUUAACCAGAAAGCCACGGCUAACUACGUGCCAGCAGCCGCGGUAAUACGUAGGUGGCAAGCGUUGUCCGGAUUUAUUGGGCGUAAAGCGAGCGCAGGCGGUUUUUUAAGUCUGAUGUGAAAGCCUUCGGCUCAACCGAAGAAGUGCAUCGGAAACUGGGAAACUUGAGUGCAGAAGAGGACAGUGGAACUCCAUGUGUAGCGGUGAAAUGCGUAGAUAUAUGGAAGAACACCAGUGGCGAAGGCGGCUGUCUGGUCUGUAACUGACGCUGAGGCUCGAAAGUAUGGGUAGCAAACAGGAUUAGAUACCCUGGUAGUCCAUACCGUAAACGAUGAAUGCUAAGUGUUGGAGGGUUUCCGCCCUUCAGUGCUGCAGCUAACGCAUUAAGCAUUCCGCCUGGGGAGUACGGCCGCAAGGCUGAAACUCAAAGGAAUUGACGGGGGCCCGCACAAGCGGUGGAGCAUGUGGUUUAAUUCGAAGCUACGCGAAGAACCUUACCAGGUCUUGACAUACUAUGCAAAUCUAAGAGAUUAGACGUUCCCUUCGGGGACAUGGAUACAGGUGGUGCAUGGUUGUCGUCAGCUCGUGUCGUGAGAUGUUGGGUUAAGUCCCGCAACGAGCGCAACCCUUAUUAUCAGUUGCCAGCAUUAAGUUGGGCACUCUGGUGAGACUGCCGGUGACAAACCGGAGGAAGGUGGGGAUGACGUCAAAUCAUCAUGCCCCUUAUGACCUGGGCUACACACGUGCUACAAUGGAUGGUACAACGAGUUGCGAACUCGCGAGAGUAAGCUAAUCUCUUAAAGCCAUUCUCAGUUCGGAUUGUAGGCUGCAACUCGCCUACAUGAAGUCGGAAUCGCUAGUAAUCGCGGAUCAGCAUGCCGCGGUGAAUACGUUCCCGGGCCUUGUACACACCGCCCGUCACACCAUGAGAGUUUGUAACACCCAAAGUCGGUGGGGUAACCUUUUAGGAACCA
rnacentral:rRNA from 1 species